rnacentral:tRNA from 1 species
GCAUCGGUGGUUCAGUGGUAGAAUGCUCGCCUGCCACGUGGGCGGCCGGGGUUCGAUUCCCGGCCGAUGAA